AUGAACGCUGGCGGCGUGCCUCAUACAUGCAAGUCGAGCGAACAGACGAGGAGCUUGCUCCUCUGACGUUAGCGGCGGACGGGUGAGUAACACGUGGAUAACCUACCUAUAAGACUGGGAUAACUUCGGGAAACCGGAGCUAAUACCGGAUAAUAUAUUGAACCGCAUGGUUCAAUAGUGAAAGACGGUUUUGCUGUCACUUAUAGAUGGAUCCGCGCCGCAUUAGCUAGUUGGUAAGGUAACGGCUUACCAAGGCAACGAUGCGUAGCCGACCUGAGAGGGUGAUCGGCCACACUGGAACUGAGACGCGGUCCAGACUCCUACGGGAGGCAGCAGUAGGGAAUCUUCCGCAAUGGGCGAAAGCCUGACGGAGCAACGCCGCGUGAGUGAUGAAGGUCUUCGGAUCGUAAAACUCUGUUAUUAGGGAAGAACAAAUGUGUAAGUAACUAUGCACGUCUUGACGGUACCUAAUCAGAAAGCCACGGCUAACUACGUG
rnacentral:rRNA from 1 species